rnacentral:rRNA from 1 species
GGAUCAGUAUGUUGGUCAUGCCUUGGUAUGUACUGGUGUCACUGAUUCCUCCCUUCUGACGAACCUUCAUGCCAUUCACUUGGUGUGAUGGGAAAUCAGGACUGUUACUUUGAAAAAAUUAGAGUGUUUAAAACAGGCGUUUGCUUGAAUACAUUAGCAUGGAAUAACGGAAUAGGACUU